UACGUAGGGUGCGAGCGUUACUCGGAAUUACUGGGCGUAAAGCGUGCGCAGGCGGUUGUGCAAGACAGAUGUGAAAUCUCCGGGCUUAACCUGGGAAUGGCAUUUGUGACUGCACGGCUAGAGUGUGUCAGAGGGGGGUAGAAUUCCACGUGUAGCAGUGAAAUGCGUAGAUAUGUGGAGGAAUACCGAUGGCGAAGGCAGCCCCCUGGGAUAACACUGACGCUCAUGCACGAAAGCGUGGGGAGCAAACAGG
rnacentral:rRNA from 1 species